UACGUAGGGGGCAAGCGUUGUCCGGAUUUACUGGGCGUAAAGGGCUCGUAGGCGGCCAACUAAGUCAGACGUGAAAUCCCUCGGCUUAACCGGGGAACUGCGUCUGAUACUGGAUGGCUUGAAUCCGGGAGAGGGAUGCGGAAUUCCAGGUGUAGCGGUGAAAUGCGUAGAUAUCAGGAGGAACACCGGUGGCGAAGGCGGGUCUCUGGGCCGAUACUGACGCUGAGGAGCGAAAGCGUGGGGAGCGAACAGG
rnacentral:rRNA from 1 species